rnacentral:lncRNA from 1 species
CCUCUUUCUACUGCUAGUACCUCUCCCUAUACAACCAAGCAUUCUGCUAGCAUUUCCUGCUGCUCUAUUACAUUGUCUGCCUACCUUUAAGUCAUCAGAAAUAAUCACCCCUAAAUCUCUUUCCUCAGAUGUUGAGGUUAGGACACAAUCAAAUAUUCUGUACUCUGCCUUUGGGGUUUUACGUCCAAGAUGCAUUAUCUUGCACUUAUUCACAUUAAAAGUCAGUUGCCACAACUUUUUCUAGUUUACCUAAAUCAUUUGCCAUUUGGCUUAUACCUCCCCGAACAUCAACCCUG